UGAGUAGGCGGCAGUGUAAGUCAUAUGUGAAAGCCCGCGGCUUAACCGCGGGAUUGCAUAAGAAACUACACGGCUAGAGUAUGGGAGAGGUAAGCGGAAUUCCUAGUGUAGCGGUGAAAUGCGUAGAUAUUAGGAAGAACACCAGUGGCGAAGGCGGCUUACUGGACCAAGACUGACGCUGAGGCACGAAAGCGUGGGGAGCGAACAGGAUUAGAUACCCUGGUAGUCCACGCUGUAAACGAUGAGAACUAGGUGUUGGGGUGAGAGCCUCGGUGCCGCAGCUAACGCAAUAAGUUCUCCGCCUGGGGAGUACGUUCGCAAGAAUGAA
rnacentral:rRNA from 1 species